rnacentral:rRNA from 1 species
GGGAACUGCGUUNUGAACUGGGUGACUAGAGUGUGUCAGAGGGAGGUAGAAUUCCACGUGUAGCAGUGAAAUGCGUAGAGAUGUGGAGGAAUACCGAUGGCGAAGGCAGCCUCCUGGGAUAACACUGACGUUCAUGCUCGAAAGCGUGGGUAGCAAACAGGAUUAGAUACCUUGGUAGUCCACGCCCUAAACGAUGUCAAUUAGCUGUUGGGCAACUUGAUUGCUUAGUAGCGUAGCUAACGCGUGAAAUUGACCGCCUGGGGAGUACGGUCGCAAGAUUAAAACUCAAAGGAAUUGACGGGGACCCGCACAAGCGGUGGAUGAUGUGGAUUAAUUCGAUGCAACGCGAAGAACCUUACCUGGUCUUGACAUGUACGGAAUCCUCCAGAGACGGAGGAGUGCCUUCGGGAGCCGUAACACAGGUGCUGCAUGGCUGUCGUCAGCUCGUGUCGUGAGAUGUUGGGUUAAGUCCCGCAACGAGCGCAACCCUUGUCAUUAGUUGCCAUCAUUUAGUUGGGCACUCUAAUGAGACUGCCGGUGACAAGCCGGAGGAAGGUGGGGAUGACGUCAAGUCCUCAUGGCCCUUAUGACCAGGGCUUCACACGUCAUACAAUGGUCGGUACAGAGGGUAGCCAAGCCGCGAGGUGGAGCCAAUCUCACAAAACCGAUCGUAGUCCGGAUUGCACUCUGCAACUCGAGUGCAUGAAGUCGGAAUCGCUAGUAAUCGCAGGUCAGCAUACUGCGGUGGAUACGUUCCCGGGUCUUGUACACACCGCCCGUCACACCAUGGGAGUGGGGGAUACCAGAAGUAGGU